CAGGGAAAAAUGUGUUGGGGAGGUAUAGUAUCUGCUGAGGAGUAUGGCAGUGGGAGAAAAGGGGAAGUUAUGAAGGAGUGGUUGGGGGAAGAAGUUGAAGGGUCGAAUGUAGGGAUAGCGGAGGUGUGAUUGAGGAGAGUGCAAGGCACAGAGGGGGUGGGAGACAGGGGGAGUGACGGAGAGGUUGGGAGUGUGUACAGUAAUGAGGCAAAUGCUGUAGAGAGGGUAGGUGGCAAUGGAAAGGGAGCUAAUUGGGGAAACAAGAUCGAAAAGAGCAAGGGCAAAUGGGGAUUGAGCGAGAGAGCGAAGGGAUGGGAUAGAGGGGGAGAGAGAUACUGGAUGAAUUGCCCCAGCGGGAGAGGCUUUCGGAGGGUGUGUGUAUGAAUGACGGUGGGGGGACGGGUGGAUGUUGAGGAAUUCCCAACCCGAACAGAGGACAGCUGGAUCGGCUGCUGUCACCCGGAGCGUGGGCGCUGAGCGCUGGAACUGACUCUGAAGAGCACGGUACCCGCUCGGACUGUACUCCGGCUAUGCCUGUACCUGAAUUGGACCUUUACCCAGUUCUGACUGUCACUAGGGUAGACCUGUACCUGAACGUGAAGGGACUUGUACCCGGUUCGGACCGCACUGGGCGGCCGCUGGGAGUGCGGUGAACGCGGCGCUGAGUCAGGGAUGGACGGGAGCGGGAGCAGUGGGCUGCCGCUCACUGGAUUAUUUCUGCUUGUUUUUCACACCAUUCUCUGUCAACCCCAGGAGAUCGGCAGCUGCUGAGAUACUCCAACCACCCUGUCUGGCACCAACAAUCUCUCUACAGCCAAAACCCCUGAGGUCACAUUUCUUCCCCAUUCUGAUGUUUGCUCUGAACAACAACUGAACCUCUGGACCACGUCCGCAUGCUUUUAUUCAUCGAAUUGCUGCCACUCGGUAGGCUGAUUAGAUAUUUGCAUUAAUAUAUGUGUAUUUUUUUUAAAAAAAAAGAGGCCACUGAGUUUAUGUAGAGUCAUAGAACAAUGCAACACAGAUAUAGGCCCUUCGGCCCAACCAGUCCAUGCCAGCCACGGUGCCCAUCCAGUUUCCUGCAUUUGACCCAUUGCUCUUCAAGCUCACCCGCCCCCCCCCCCAUGUAUUUGUACAAGCACUUCUUAAUGGAACUACUCUACCUGCCCCAACCAUUUCCUCUGCCCCCCUUGUUCCAUAUUCUCACCGCCCUCUGAAUGGAAAAGUCGCCCCUCAGGUCCCUUUUAAAUGUUUCCCCUCUGACCCUAAACCAGGGGGUCCCCACUUGGGGUCCACAGACCCCUUGAUUAAUGGCAUUCGUUCAUGGCAUAAAUGAACGUUGGGACCCCCCCCCCCCCCGUCCCUAAACCUAUUACCCUCGUUUUGGCCUCCGGUAUCCUGGGGAAAAGGCUGUUACCGUCCCCCUCAUAAUGUUAAACAUCUCUAUAAAGUUGCCUCUCAUUCCAGGUAACGAAGACCCAGCCUGCCGACCUCUCCCUACCACUCAGACCCUUUGUACCUGGCAGUACCCCGUAAAUCUUUUCUGUUCUCUUUCCAGUUCAACCCCAUCUUUCCUAUAACAAGGUGAGCAGAACUGUACACUAUACUCCAGCUGUGGACUCACCAAAGACUUGAACAUCUCCAGCAUAAUGUCCCAGCUCCUGACUGACGAAGGUCAUGCUAAAUGCCCUUUUUUUCCCCCCACCGCCCCAUCGGUCUGUGACUUGCAAUGAACUGCGCACCUGGACCAGGGGCGGAAUUAGGUCAUUCGGUCCAUUGAUUCUGCUCCGCCAUUCCGAUUUAUCUUUCAAUCCCAUUCCACCCCCGUCUCCCUGUAACCUUUAACUCCCCUACCAGCCCAGGGCCUAUCUACCUCUGCCUUAAAUACACCCAAAGACACGUCUCCCACCACCUUCUGCGGCUAAAGAGGCUCAUCCCACCACCUCCCCUGGGGACAAGUUCCAGAUAUCAACAGCAUACCCCUCAGAUCCCCUUGAGGGUCUUCCUCUCACCUCGAGCCCAUGUUCUCUAGCUGUUGAUCCCCCUGCCACGGGAGAAACUUUCUAGUUACCUACGCUAUGUCUCAGAUGUACCUAAAUGAGGCUUCACACCAGUACUUCAAGAUCAGCCCACAGAGGGCGCUCCUGGUCAGGAGGGAACCUCGGACCAUUUAAAGGGGAAGUUGGUGUGAUCUCUUAAAGGGGUCUUGUCUGAAACGCCUUUGCCGCGAGAUUAUUGGAUUCACAACAAAGCGAGCGAGUAGCAUCACAAGAUUCACCAGCGGGUUCACCUGUGACGGUGAGAUGAACAAAGAGAGUAAUUGAUAUUUAUACAGGAGCUUGAAGCAUGUGCUAUUAGGCUGAAGGACAGCUUCUAUCGCACUGUAUUAAGACACUUGAAUGGCAAGACCUAUACUUGAUCGUUCAGUCUACCCGAUUUUGGACCUUGCACCUUAUUGUCCACCUGCACUGGUGGUGGCACAUGUUUGGAAUGUUGGAUUAAACCAGGACCCACAGGGAAAGUCCACGCUGUCACAGGGAGAACGUACAAACCCCACACAGAUGGCACCCAAAGCAGGCUCCCCUCUCUCCACUCAGCUGCCGAAUCCAAAGCAACAGCAGAGAACGAUACAGUUUGUCACCAGGAGUUUUGCCAGUGAGUGUUGAAUUCAGCAUAGGGUCCCCAGUACCCGACUUUUCCUCGGGGGGGUCUACUCCUCCCAUGAGUGGGUAUAGCCGCAAAGCGGUGGAGGGGUAAGAUCAGAGUUUUCCUUCUCCUAGACGAGCCCCAUCUGCACGAAGCAAAUCGUUGCCAUCAGUUGAAAACAAAUUUAUUAUCCAGGUACAUUUAUACCACCCUGAGAUACAUGUUCUUGUGGACAUACUCAAUAGACCAUAACAGAAUCAAUGAAAGACCACGCCAACUUGGGCGUUCAACCGGUGUGCACAAGACAACAAACUGCAAGUACAAACCGAAAGAAAGAAAUAAGCAAUAAAUGUUGAGAACGUGGAAUGGAGAGUCCUUGAAAGUGAGACCUUUGGUUCUCCUGUCAGUAGAAACGGUUCCACCAGGGUUAGUAGCUAAACCACGUGUGAAGGCCAGGAGCUGGACUUGGUUCUCUGAGACUAUUUGAGACACACCCCAUUGAGCUUGUCCCCAUUACCACCCCCAGCUAUAACAACCUUAAGGAUCCAAUGGAAGGAUAUAAACUAAUGAAAAGGUCAACACGAGGACUUUUAUAUAUUGGUGAGACCUGACACAGAUUGAGAGACCAUUUCACUGAACACCUACGCUCGGUCCGCCAGAGAAAGCGGGAUCUCCCAGUGGCCACACAUUUUAAUUCCACAUCCCAUUCCCAUUCUGAUAUGUCUAUCCAUGGCCUCCUCUACUGUCAAGAUGAAGCCACAUUCGGGAUGGAGGAACAACACCUUAUAUACCGGCUGUUGUAUAUGGCAUGAACAUUAACUUCUCUAACUUUAGUUAAUGCCCCUCCUCCCCUGCUUACCCCAUCCCUGAUUUAUUUAUUUUUCCUCCCUCCCCUUUUUGUUCUCUCUCUGCCCAUCACUCUGCCUGUUCUCCGUCUCCCUCUGUUGCUCCCCUCCCCCUUUCUUUCUCCUUAGGCCUCCUGUCCCAUGAUUCUUUCCCUUCUCCAGCUCUGUAUCCCUUUCGCCAAUCACCUUUCCAGCUCUCAGCUUCACCCCACCCCCUCCGGUCUUCUCCUCUCAUUUCGCAUUUUCCCCUCCCCCCACUUUCAAAUCCCUUACUACCUUUCCUUUCAGUUAGUCCUGACGAAGGGUCUCAGCCCGAAACGUCAACAUCGCUUCUCCCUAUAGGUGCUGCCUGGCCUGCUGUGUUCCACCAGCAUCUGGUGUGUGUUCAAUGUAAAGGUCGAUGGUCAGAACAGGGAUGGAAGGCCUAAAGGCCUCUAUUUCUGUAUCUGUCCUGUACUCUUUGUUCAAUUAACUUACUUCUUAUCUGAUCAAUUUUCCAGAUCUUGGAAGUACAGACAAGGCCAGCAGUUACUGUCUGCCCGUGAGAGAUGAUGAGUUUUGAACCACUGCUAUCCCUUUGAGAUGCAUUAAUGGAAAACUAAACCACAGAAGCAACAGACGCUCAACGGGCCAGAUUUCGCUGUACGUGUGACAAAUGAAGUUAAUCUGAUCAGUGUCUGUGGAGAGACGAGCAGUAUCUCAGGCCAAAAAAGCACAUUUAACUGGAUUUACUUAUUUACAGUCAGAGUCGUCCCUUCCAGCCACGCCAUUCCAGCAACUCUAAUUAACUCGAACCUCAUCCGGACACAAUUUUUACAGUGAUGAUUUAACCUACCCGGUACAUCUUUGGAAGAAACCGGACAUCCCGGAGAAAACCCAUGUUUUCCACGGGAGGGAUGUCAGCGCUGGGAUUGAGCUCUGGGCUGUAACAGUGUCACACUAUCUGCUAUGCUAUCGUGGUACCCAGCUCUGGUCCUCUCUCCGCAGAUGCUGCCUGACCUGCUGAGUGUUGCAAGCCAGCUGGAGAUGGUGGCGGUCGUGGACACAGAGGGCAAGGCAAUGUCUGUUCUGCAAGAGUUAGCGUCACUUAGCACUGAACAAGCAUUUCUAGUCCACACGCCGAACGAUUAUUCUGCCUGUACCACCAACCUGCACCUGGACCAUAGUUCCCCCCAUCCCUCCCAUCCACGUACUCCAAACUUCUCUUAAAUGUUGCAUUCGAACCCACCUUCACUACUUCCACUGCCAGCUCGUUCCACCCUCUCACCACCCUCUGAGUGAAGAAGUGCCCCUCAUGUUCCCCUCACCUUUCACCCUUAAACCAUGAUCCGUAAUUCUAGUCUCACCCAACUUCAGCGGAAAAAGCCUGCUUGCAUUUACCCCAUUUAUACCCCUCUGAAUUUUCCACACCUCUAUCAAAUCCCCCCUCAAUCUCCUAUGCUCCAGGGAAUAAAUUCCUAACCUAUUCAACCUUUCCCUAUAACUCAGGUCCUCAAGUUACAGCAACAUUCUUGAGAAUUUUCUCUGCACACUUUCAAUCUUAUUGAUAUCUUUUCUCUAAGUUAGUGAUCAGAACUGCACACAAUCAAGCCAAGUCACUUUUAUUGUCAUUUCGACCAUAACUGCUGGUACAGUACAUAGUAAAAAUGAGACAAUGUUUUUCAGGACCAUGGUGCUACAUGACACAGUACAAAAACUAGACUGAACUACGUAAUAAAAAAACAACACAGAGAAAGCUCCACUGGACUACAGACCUACACUGGACUACGUAAAGUGCACAAAAACAGUGCAGGCAUUACAAUAAAUAAUAAACAGGACAAUAGGGCAGUAAGGUGUCAGUCCAGGCUCUGGGUAUUUAGGAGUCUGAUAGCUUGGGGGAAGAAACUGUUACAUAGUCUGGUCGUGAGAGCCCGAAUGCUACGAAGCCUUUUCCCAGACAGCAGGAGGGAGAAGAGUUUGUAUGAGGGGUGCAUGGGGUCCUUCAUAAUGCUGUUUGCUUUGCGGAUGCAGCGUGUAGUGUAAAUGUCCGUGAUGGCGGGAAGAGAGACCCUGAUGAUCUUCUCAGCUGACCUCACUAUCCGCUGCAGGGUCUUGCAAUCCGAGAUGGUGCAAUUUCCGAACCAGGCAGUGAUGCAGCUGCUCAGGAUGCUCUCAAUACAACCCCUGUAGAAAGUGAGGAGGAUCUAAUACCUAGAACAUACCUACAGACUAGAAGAUAUAUUCUCGGUAUCUUGUGAUAAGGUGAUACAGCAAACCAUCCUGUCCUCUUCCUGAUAUUGUGUGUGUCCUUAAAUCAAGCUUCAUCUGUCCCUCUCAGGUGGACAUACUGUACAUGCAAGGUCUUCAGAUGGUUGGUGUAAGAUCUGCCUGGCCAAUACUUAUCACUCAAACAACGUCUAAAGCAUCGUGAAUGCUGUUGGUGGAAGUUUGGCAUGGUAACAAAUCCUACUAGCCUAACAAGCCCACUUAGCUCAAAUACACCUACCAAUUGACCUACCAACUAGAGGGGCUUUGGACUGUGAGAGGAAACCAGAGCACUUGGAGGAAACCUGCGGGGUCAUGGAGGAGAACGUACACACAUCCCCUCACAGCUCCAGCAACCCAGGUUCGAGUCUGACCUCGGCUGCUGUCUGUGCGGAGAUUGCACCGUUGGAUCCCGAUGCCCUUGUGAUCCGAAGGUCCUUUGGAAGUCCAGAAUGAGGCAUAAAAUGGUGCUUAUGAUCAAUUUAUUGAGCACUCCAAGAGCAAGGGAGAAGAACGGCGAAGGGGCAUGGCGAGAGACAGAAAACAGGAGGGAAAUCCAGAGGAACACACGCAAAAUGCUGGAGGAACUGAGCAGGAAGCAUCGAUGGAAAAGAACACAAUCAACAUUGUAAACCAAGACCCUUCAUCAGAAAUGGGAAGGAAAGCGGAAUAUGUCAGAAUAAAAAAAGUGGUAGGACUAGCUAGAAGGUGAUAGGUGAAUGGGAAUGGUAAAGAGCUGGAGAAGAAGGAAUCUGAUAGGAGAGGAGAGUGGACCUUAGGAGAAAGGGAUAGAGGAGGGGACCCCGAAGGAGGUGAUAGGCCUGAGUGAGGAAUAGAAGAAGACAUGAAGGGAAGGGUAUUUAUUUUAACCGGAGGAGAUAUUGAUGUUCAUGCCAUCUGGUUGGUAGCUACCCAGACGGAAUAUAAGGUGUUGCCCCCCCCACCUUGUUGUGGCACAAGAGGGGGUAAUGGACUGACCCGUUGGAAUGGAAAUGGGAAUCAGAAUUAAAAUGUCUGGAGGAUGGGUGUGUGAG